rnacentral:rRNA from 1 species
GAUGAACGCUAGCUACAGGCUUAACACAUGCAAGUUGAGGGGAAACGACAUCGAAGGCUUGCUUUUGAUGGGCGUCGACCGGCGCACGGGUGAGUAACGCGUAUCCAACCUGCCCAUCACUUGGGAAUAACCUUGCGAAAGUAAGACUAAUACCCAAUGACAUCCCACGAAGACAUCUGAAUGGGAUUAAAGAUUUAUCGGUGAUGGAUGGGGAUGCGUCUGAUUAGCUUGUUGGCGGGGUAACGGCCCACCAAGGCAACGAUCAGUAGGGGUUCUGAGAGGAAGGUCCCCCACAUUGGAACUGAGACACGGUCCAAACUCCUACGGGAGGCAGCAGUGAGGAAUAUUGGUCAAUGGGCGAGAGCCUGAACCAGCCAAGUAGCGUGCAGGAUGACGGCCCUAUGGGUUGUAAACUGCUUUUAUAAGGGAAUAAAGUGGGUCUCGUGAGACUUUUUGCAUGUACCUUAUGAAUAAGGACCGGCUAAUUCCGUG